rnacentral:lncRNA from 1 species
CUAAGAUCCAUAUUUGGUUCGAAUGUAUCUAGUAAAUUUUUGACUUCAUUGCAUCUAACCAUUUCUUAGAAUCAAUGUCAGGCAUUGUGUCGUCAAAAAUUUUAAGAUCAUCACCAUGACCCUUAUCUCCUAUAAGAAAUAUUUUUUUACUUCCUCCAUAAGCAUACCCAUGUACCUUCAGGAGGUCAGAAAACCCUGC